AAAUCAGUGUUAGACACAAAGUGCAUAUAUCGGGACCCUUCAACCCUGACGCGUUAUCGUUGUAUGACGAUCAAUUUGCAAAUCCCAAGAUUGUCAUAAUGGCAAGCACAAGAAUUUCUGAGUUUAGAGGGACUAUUAAGAUAACUAAUCUUUCGUCCACCAAGAUUUAUGUGAACCUUGAAUGCCCGGAAGUGACAACGUUCAGACAAUGGUUGAUCAAUGAUGGCUUCAUGGAGUUUUGGCCUAUCAUUUGAUCUGAAGAACUAGAUGCUAAGUAUGACAUGGGAGCUAAUAAGAACUGGGUUGCUGUGAGGCAGAUUUGUGCCGCAUCAUUCCUUGAUUCAGAUUAUGGUUUUGGGUUUCAUCCUAGGAUUUUCUUUCUGUUAAAAAUGAAUUCUAUUCAUCCAGUUAGGCUUUGAUUUCAUAAGUUUCUUUUUAUCAGAUGACCUCAUUUGCUUUAUUAUUUCAUUAGACUAUGUCUGCUUUAUAAUUUUCAAAGAGCAUGAUUGCAUUUUUUAUUUGAGAUGUAUAGUCUGAAGGAUUUUUUAUAAAGCAAGAUGAUUUUGACAAUGUGAGUUGAAUUUCACUUAGAUUUUAUUCAUGUUUCUGGGGUAUAAUCAUGUACAUAUGUAUAUCUAAAAGUGGUGUAUAGUCUUAUUGUACAAGAGAACAAACAUAUGACUUAGUAAACGUGGUUGAGAAUGAAUAUACAUCAUUGAAUAGAGUAUUACU